rnacentral:lncRNA from 1 species
UUUUUUUUUAACUUUGUUAGAAAUUCCAGUGAGGAUUAUUGAAAAUUUAUCUUCUCUGUUGUCCCUUUAUACAAGUUUCUUCAUAUAAUUUUUGAGAAAAUUGCUUGUGGGUUGUGCUAUAUUUGAUAAUGUGAUAACUAAUACUGAACCAAUGAUGAAGUUUGUUAAAAGAACCAAACAAAUUGUUCUCUUGCUUGCCACAGUUAGUAUAUUAUUUUGAUUUUUUUCUUAGGUACAAAUAUUUUGUAUGUCAUUGCACUCUUCCUAGAAUAUUAGUAUAGAGACAACUAGUCCACUUCUUUUAUCGCAAGUUAACUAAUUCUUCGUCUCUUCUUUUUGGGCAUAAUAAGAGAUCAAGUUUUCUUGAAACUAACAAAUGUCCAAAAUAAACUAUAACAAGAAUAUUUUUUAUUGGCAGUAAAUAUGCACAUUAAUGAAGAGUGCUAGAGAAUUUACCGUCAUUAGUUAAUUGUCAUUACAUUCAAUGUUGCUAUAGACUUUAGAGACAUUUAUAGAGAGUACCAACUGCCUCUGAAAAUACAUAUUUAACGACAAUUAUGCUAUUAAUUACCGUUAAAGAUCAUUCUUUUUUGUAAUGAUAACUCUUUCCUUUGAUAAUUUUUUUUUUUGAUAAAGUAGUAAUAAUUGUUUCUUUUGGCUUCUUUAAAUUUAAUUUGUGAACUGUAAACUUGGAUACAACCCGAUACACGAUCUUUUUGAAAAAUAUGUUAAGCAAAAUGUCUUUUUCUUCUUGAUUGUUAGGAAAGUGUAACACCUCGUAUGCUAGAACUACCAAAAUGCAGAUUUUUCAUAAGUUGCAGGUGCAACCAACAGUUGCCACCCACGGACUGUAGGGUGACCCACAGUACGUUCUGGUGGUCUGUGGUUUACUACCUGCAACCCUCCCCAUAAACCUCAGAAAAAAUCUUCUAAGGCUGGUCUGUGGAUCAUGACCCCAGAAUCUAGUCUCUGAAGCCAAACGACGGCUGACAAGAACGGACCCUCGGUCCAUCCACGGUCUGUCGGUCUGGACCGUUGAUGACCCCGACAACUUUUAAGUCAGGGGUCUUUUGGUCUUUUCCUCAUGCGUUGGACCGCUAAACUACGUCGUUUAACCCCUAAACUACGUGGUUAUGGUCAGUUUUAGCCUAGUAAACAAAUUAGAACCUAACCUAAUCAAUCAUUCACCAAAAAUUCAUCAAUCUUAGAACAAAAGAGGAGAAGAAGUCGACCAAACCCUAGUUCAAGAACACAAUAAUUUUUCAUCAGUUCCAGCCCCGGAAUUGAAAAAUUUCUUUGUGAAUUUUGUCACCAGGUAUGUGGGAUUUCACAAGUGGGUUCCUUUCACCCAUUAGGUCCCUAGAAUUCAGUCAGAUCCUUGAUUCUCUUCAUUAUCUAGAUCUAGGGUUUCUAGAAUUUCAGCAUAUCAUUAUGAAUUAGUUACUUUAAUGUUCCUAAUCAGAUUACUAUGAUUUUAGUAUUUUUUUUGCCUAGAUUCUUUCUUGAAUUCAGAACCCUAGCUAUGUAGUUCUUUAGUUCGUGAAUUAGACAUACUAGGUCAGAUAUUACAAAUAUACAUGCCUCAGAUUUAAAUGUUUCAUUAUUAGUACAUUAAUGUCACAUUUUAAGUUAGCAGGUCAGUAUUUUGAGCUAUCCAGUAUUACAUAAAUUCAUUCAUAAAUUGUUAAUUUCAUAAUCAAUUAGGAGUAGCUUAAUAUCGAGUUGACGAGGGGUCAGUCACCCUCAAGUCCCAGAACUAAGUGCCCCGUAGGUUGUAAGUCUCUUCUGUAGGCAUCAUUUCAGUGAUCACGCCAGUCAUGCCUCUAUACCUCUGGCAUGGUAUAUUGGGUCCUCUCGAUGGGGCGUAUACAUCGGACUCCAAAUUUAGCUCAUGUGGUUUUAUGUCAAUUAUUAUUAGCUCCCACAAUCAGAUUCUAUUGCAUUGACCAUGUUAUCAGUUACAGUCAGAUUUCAGUCUCAGCAUGUUAUAAACUUGGUCAUUGCAUUUAGCUAGUUCAUGUUCAGUAUCGUGCUUAUCUCUUAUCAUUACUAGAUUUAUGCUUUGGUUCAGUUAUGUUAUUGUUCAGCUUUAUUGUAUCCUUCAUGCUCAGUACUUUUCAAGUACUGAUGCAUACUCUGCGCUACAUCUUCUCGUGAUGUAGGUUCACGUUCUCAGCUUCCAGAUCACGCAUAGAUCGGUUCCCAAUCUUCAGUUCAACAACAUCAGUGGUGAGUCCUCAUUCUCUGAGGACGAUUGACAUGAUUAUCUUUCUUUACUUUUAGUUUUUAGUUUUCAGUUAUUUGCUAGAUCUAGCUGAGGUAUGUCCCAGCAUUUCUAGUCAGUAAAGUCUUUAUUUCAGACAUAGUUAGAAUCUAGCUUUAGAAUUUGAGUUUGACUUUUCAGUUGUUGUUAAACUCUCAGUAUUCAUUUAUUCAAAUUUAGUAUGGGUAUUCCCCAUCAUUUCAGAUUAUCUCAUGAUUAGCUUCCGCACAAUAUUUAUUGAUUUAGUUUAUCUUUAAGUAUGCUUAUGAUAUACCAUCAGGGUUAGCUUGGGGUCACUCGUGAUCCUAGGUCCCAUGUCCGCGUUCUGGGGGUAGCUUCACGGCAUGACAAACUUGGUAUCAGAGCACUAGGUCCAAGAAUCCUAAGAUGUCUGAAAAGCCGCACUAAGUAGAGUCCUUUUCAUGGGUAUGAAGUGAACCACAUCUAAUGAGAAGGAGGCUACGAAGUGUUUUAGGAAAACUUCAUUUUCUUGUUACUCUUAUCAUGCAUAAGGUAUGAUCUAAUUCCUCGUUUCUAACUCGACGUUAUGCGCUUUCAGAUCAUGCCUCCUCGUAGAGCUUACAGAAGGAAUGCUAAUGCACGCAAUUCUAAACCAACUACUCUAGUCCCAAAUUAGGAAGUUUCGAAUGUAGAGUUUCAGAAUGCUAUCCAACUUUUGGCUCAGAGUGUGACUAACCAGAAUAACCAACAUGUUCCAGUUCUUGCAAAUGCUAGUGGUGGAUCAGUGGUAGCCAGGGUUCGUGAUUUUGUUAGGAUGAAUCCUCCUGAGUUCUUAGGAUCACAGAUUGGUGAAGAUCCCCAAAACUUCAUAGAUGGGGUCAAGAAGAUCUUUGGAGUGAUGCAAGUGACAGGUAAUAAUAGGGUAGAGUUGGCAUCCUAUCAGCUUAAGGAUGUAGCUCAUAUCUGGUAUACUCAAUGGAAAGAGAACAAGGGUACAUAUGCAACUCCUAUCACUUGGGAAUGCUUUAGUGAAACCUUUUUGGACAGAUUCUUUUUAAAAGAGUUGAGGGAGGCAAGAGCUCAGGAGUUUAUGAAUUUGAGGCAGGGUUCCAUGUCAAUCCAAGAGUAUGGGCUCAAGUUCACCCAACUCUCCAUGUAUGCUCCUCACAUGGUUGUCGAUUCCAGGGCUCAAAUGAACAAGUUUCUAUAUGGGGUAUCCGACUUAGUGAAAACAGAGUGUAGGAAUGCUAUGUUGCUAGAAAAUAUGAACAUCUCUAGGCUCAUGACUCAUGCUCAGUAGGUUGAGAGUGAUAAGCUUGGGGAACAAGCUAAGGAUAAUAAAAAGGCUAGAACAGACAACUAUGAGUAUUCUUAAUAGAAAUUGGGUGGUGGAAAUUGCUCGCAAUUUCAACAGAAAUCUUCAACUCCAACACCUUCAUCAGUUAGUGUUCUAUCCUCCAAGUUCCGACAAGAUCAGAAAAGUAGGGUAUUAGGCUCUAAGUUUCAGAGGAGUAUUUCAGGCACCAGAACCUACCCAACUUGUCCAAAGUAUGGUAAGAACCAUCCGGGCAAGUGUCUUGCAGGAAAGGAAUGAUGCUUUGGGUGUGGUCAGUCUGGUCACAUGUUAAGAGAUUGUCCUUCUGCUAAACAUGGUCAAGUAGGUAAUAAUGGUAAAGCUCAGUAUAUAACUUCAACAGCACCAACAGGUCGUCUGACUCAGCAGGGUAACUCAUCUGGUACUGGUGGCAGACAGCACCAAAACAGGUUGUAUGCUCUUCAGGCUCGCCAGGAUCAAGAAGAUUCUCCUGAUGUAGUCACUGGUACAUUACGAGUUUUUGACUUAGAUGUUUAUGGUUUGUUAGAUCCAAGGGCUACUCUUUCCUUUGUAACUCAUUAUAUAGCAGUCAACUUCAAUGUUAGCCCAGAAACUCUCUCAGAACCCUUCUCAUUCUCUACUCCAGUCGGUGACCCAGUUAUAGCUAGACGUGUAUAUAAAAAUUGCCCUGUCAUAGUCUCCCACAAAGUCACCUCAGCAGAUCUUGUAGAGUUAGAAAUGGUAGACUUCGAUAUCAUUCAGGCAUGGAUUGGUUACAUUCUUAUUAUGCCUCAGUCGAUUGUAGAACUAGGAUUGUUCGUUUUCAGUUUCCAGACGAACCAAUCUUAGAAUAGAAGGGGUUGUAGUUUAGCGCCUAUGGGUCGAUUCAUUUAUUACCUUAAGGACCAGAAAGAUGAUCUCUAAGGGUUAUCUCUAUCAUCUAGUUCGGGUUAAGGAUUCAAGCUCCGAAACCCCAAUUCUUGUGUCAGUUCUAGUAAUUAAUGAGUUCCUAGAAGUGUUUCUAGAAGAACUUCCUGGAGUUCCUCCCUAAAGGGAAAUCAACUUUGGAAUUGAUCUCCUUCUAGAUACCCAGCCUAUUUCUAUUCCUCCUUACAAAAUGGCUCCAGCUGGGCUUAAGUAAUUGAAAGAACAAUUGAAAGACCUUCUAGAUAAGGACUUCAUCAGACCUAGUAUUUCCCCAUGAGGUGCACCAGUGUUGUUCGUGAAAAAGAAAGAUGGUUCUUUCAGAAUGUGCAUUGACUAUUGGCAGUUGAAAAAAGUCACAAUCAAGAAUAAGUACCCUAUCCACAGGAUUGAUGACUUGUUCGACCAACUUCAGGGUGCUAGUCAUUUCUCAAAGAUAGACCUCAGAUUUGGUUGUCAUCAACUUAGAGUCAGACAUAGUGACAUCCCGAAAACAACCUUUAAAACUCGGUAUGGUCAUUAUGAAUUUGUAGUUAUGUCAUUUGGACUAACCAAUUCUCCUGCAGCUUUCAUGGAUUUGAUGAAUAGAGUGUUCAAGAAGUAUUUGGACAUGUUUAUUUCAUCUUCAUUGAUGAUAUCCUCAUUUACUCUAGGAAUGAGGAAGAACAUGUGAAUCAUUUGAGGGUUGUCCUGCAAACUCUCAAAGAUCGCCAGUUAUUCGCUAAGUUUAGCAAAUGUGAGUUUUGGUUGCAAUCUAUUGCUUUCCUUGGUCAUAUAGUGUCUAGCAAAGGGAUCCAAGUGGAUUCUCAGAAAAUAGAAGCAGUGAAACAAUGGCCCAGACCUACCUCUCCUACAUAUAUCAGAAGCUUCUUGGGUUGGGUUGGCUAUUACAGAAGGUUCGCGGAAGGAUUUUCAUCCAUAGCCUCUCUAUUAACUAAGUUAACUCAGAAAAAAGGUUAAGGUUUAGUGGUCAGAUGAUUGUGAGAAAAUCUUCGCAGAACUGAAAACUAAGUUAACUGCAACUCCAGUUUUGACUCUACUAGAGGGUUCAGACGGUUAUGUGAUUUAUUGUGAUGCAUCCAUAGUCGGCCUAGGUUGUGUGCUGAUGCAGCGAGGUAAGGUUAUAACUUAUGCUUCUAGACAACUUAAGGUGCAUGAGAAGAAUUAUCCAACUCAUGACCUCGAGCUUGCAGCAGUGGUGUUUGCACUUAAGAUUUGGAGACAUUAUUUGUAUGGUGUUCACGUACAUGUGUUCACAGACCAUAAGAGCCUUCAGUAUGUGUUCACCCAGAGAGAGAGAGUUGAAUCUUCGCCAGAGGAGAUGUCUUGAGUUCCUUAAGGAUUAUGAUAUGAGUAUGCAUUACCAUCCCGGUAAGGCCAAUAUAGUAGCAGAUGAUCUUAGUAGACUAUCUAUGGGUAGUGUAGCACAUGUUCAGAAAGAAAGAGAGGAACUAGCGAAACAUGUUCACAGGCUUGCUCGUUUAGGAGUUCGUCUUAUCAGCAUAUCAGAUGGUGGUGUAACAAUUCAGAAUAGGUCAGAAUCUUCAUUGGUAGCAGAGGUUAAGGAAACACAAGAACGUGAUCCGAUAUUGCUUAAACUAAAGGGUGUAGUCCAUCAACAGAGGGUUGAGGUUUUCUCCCAAGGGGGGGAUGGUGUGCUUCGCUAUUAGGGUCGAUUAUGUGUUCCUAAGGUAGGUGAGUUGAGACAUCAGAUUCUUGUAGAAGCCCAUAAUUCUAGAUAUUCUAUUCAUCCAAACGCCACUAAGAUGUACCGUGAUCUGCGGGAAGUCUUUUGGUGGAAUGGUAUGAAAAGGGAUACAACAGAUUUUGUGGCUAAGUGCCCUAAUUGCCAGCAAGUGAAGGUAGAACAUCAGAUCCCAGGAGGUAUGACUCAAGAUAUCAACAUUCCUACUUGGAAGUAGGAAGUGAUCAACAUGGACUUCAUUACAGGUUUACCUUGUACUCGCAGACAACAUGACUCCAUUUGGGUGAUAGUUGAUAGAGUUACUAAGUUUGCGCACUUUUUGGCUGUUAAGACUACAAAUUCGACUGAGGACUACGCCAAGCUUUACAUUAAUGAGAUAGUCAGGUUGCAUGGGGUUCUUUUGUCUAUCAUCUCAAAUAGAGGUCCUCAGUUUACCUCUCAUUUUUGGAAGUCAUUUAAGAAAGGUCUUGGUACUCAGGUUAAUCUUUAGCACAUCAUUUCAUCCACAGAUUGAUGGUCAGGCAGAGCGUACCAUUCAGACCUCAGAGGACAUGUUGAGAUCUUGUGUGAUUGAUUUCAAGGGUAGUUGGGAUUAUCGCCUUCUUCUUAUAGAGUUCGCCUAUAAUAAUAGUUACCAUUCCAGCAUUCAGAUGGCCCCUUAUGAGGAUUGUAUGGGCCUAGAUGUAGAUCUCCAGUUGGUUGGUUUGAAGUAGGUGAAGCAGCCUUGAUAGGGCCAUAAUCAAUUCAUGAUGCUAUGGAGAAAGCGCAACUCAUUAGAGAUAGACUUAAGACAUCCCAUAGUCGCCAGAAGUCCUAUGCAUAUAUAAGGAGAAGGGACUUAGAGUUCCAAGUUGAUGAUUGGGUUUUUCUGAAAAUGUCACCUAUGAAAGGGGUGAUGAGAUUAAGAAAGGGAAGGCCAGUCCUAGAUAUGUAGGCCCUUACAAGAUCUUUAAAAAAGUUGGUAAAAUGGCUUAUGAAUUAGAGUUGCCAACAUAAUUAGCAGUAGUGCAUCCAGUUUUUCACAUUUCAUUGUUGAAGAAGUGUGUGGGUGAUCCAGCAUCUAUUGUACCUUUAGAAAGUGUGGCUGUGAAAAAUAGUCUCACUUAUGAAGAGGUACUAGUUGAAAUCCUUGAUCGUCAUGCUCGAAGGUUGAGAAACAAAUAAGUCGCUUCAGUUAAGGUUUUGUGGAGAAGUCAGUCCGUAGAGGGAGCUACUUGGGAAACAGAAGCUGCCAUGAAGGCCAAGUAUCCUCAUCUCUUUCCUUCCGAUUCCAUUCAAGCUUGAGGUAAUAGUUCCUCUUCAGUUUUGCAGUUAUUCAUGCGUAGCUUCAGUCUUAGUAGCAUGUUCCUUCAAUUUGUACUUGCAUUUUUAGCGCAUUUGCAUGUCCUUGGAACUUAGUCUAGUCAGAAAUCAGUUUCUAGAAAUUAGUGGCAAGGUUUGCAGCUCUUUCCCUCCCUAUCCAACUAGUUUAGACUUCAUUCUAAGACGAAUGUUCCCAAGGAGGAGAUAAUGUAACACCCUGUAUGCUAGAAUUACCAAAAUGCAGAUUUUUCAGAAGUUGCAGGUGCAACCCACAGGUGCCACCCAUGAACCGUAGGUGCUUCAAGUGGGAACUGUCUCAUCCAUCUGAACAGGACAACUGAAUGAAUGCCGCUGACCAGUGUGACCGGUCGAUUAGUGUGACCCACGGUCCAUUCUGGUGGUCUGUGGUUCACCACCUACAGCCCUCCCCAGAAACCUCAGACAAAAUCUUCUAAGGCAUGACCCAGGGCCGGACCCACAGAUCGUAGGUCAGACAACGGACCAUGGUCCUGGUUCGUGGAUCAUGUCCCCAAAAUCUAGUCUUUGAAGCCGAACGACGGCCUACCAGAACGUACCCUCGGUCCAUCCAUAGUCCAUCGGUGACCCCCAACAGCUUUUAAGUCAAGGGUCGUUUGAUCUUUUCCUUAUGCAUUGGACCGCUAAACUAUGUCAUUUAACCCCUAAACUAUGUGGUUUUGGUCAGUUUUAGCCUAGUAAAGAAAUUAGAACCUAACCUAAUCAAUCAUUCACCAAAAAAUCAUCAAUUUUAGAACAAAAGAGGAGAAGAAGUCGACCAAACCCUAGUUCAAGAACGCAACAAAUUUUCAUCAGUUCCAGCCCCGAAAUCGAAAGAUUCUCUGUAAAUUUCGUCACCAUGUAUGUAGGAUUUCACUAGUGGGUUCCUUUCACCCAUUAGGUCCCUAGAAUUCAGUCAGAUUCUUGAUUCCCUUCAUUAUCUAGACCUACGAUUUCUAGAAUUUCAGCCGAUCAUAAUGAAUUAGUUACUUUAAUGUUCCUAAUCAGAUUACUAUGAUUUUAGUAUUGUUUUGUGUAGAUUCCUUCAUGAAUUCAGAACCCUAGAUAUGUAGUUCUUUAGUUCAUGAGUUACACAUGCUAGGUCAGAUAUUACAAAUAUACAUGCCUCAGAUUUAAAUGUUUCACUAUUAGUACAUUAAUGUCCCAUUUUCAGUUAGCAUGUCAGUAUUUUGAGCUAUCCACUAUUACAGAAAUUAAGUCAUAAAUUUUUAAUUUCAUAAUCAAUUGGGAGUAGCUUAAUACCGAGUGGACUAGGGUCAGUCACCCUCAAGUCCCAGAACUACGUGCCCCGUAGGUUGUAAGUCCCCUCUGUGGGCAUUAUUUUAGUGAUCACGUCAGUCAUGCCUCUAUACCUCUGGUAGGGUAUAUUGGGUCCUCUCGAUGGGGCGUAUACAUAGGACUCUACAUUUAGCUCAUGUCGUUUUAUGUCGAUUAUUAUUAGCUCCCACAGUCAGAUUCUAUUGCAUUAACCAUGUUAUAAGUUAUAGUCAGAUUUCAGUCUCAGCAUGUCAUAAACUUGGUCAUUGCAUUCAGUUAGUUCAUGUUUAGUAUUCUCAGUAUAGUAUCAUGCUUAUCCUUAUCAUUGCUCAAAUUUAUGCUUUGGUUCAGUUAUGUUAUUGUUCAACUUUACUCUAUCCUACAUGCUUAGUACCUUUCAAGUACUGACGCAUACUCUGCGCUACAUAUUUUCGUGAUGUAGGUUCAUGUUUUCAGCUUCCAAAUCACGCAUAGAUCGGUUCCCGAUCUUCAAUUCAGCAGCAUUAGUGGUGAGUCCUCAUUCUUCGAGGACGAUUGAUAUUAUUAUCUUCUUUUGUUUUUAGUCUUUAGUUUUCAGUAUUUGUUAGAUCUAGCUGGGGCAUGUCCCAGAAUUUCUAGUCAGUAGAGGCUUUAUUUCAGACAUAGUUAGAAUCAUCUUUAGAAUUUGAGUUUGACUUUUCAGUUGUUAUUAAACUCUUAGUAUUUAUAUAUUCAAAUUUAGUAUGGGUAUUCCCCAUAAUUUCAGAUUAUCUCAUGAUUAGCUUCCACACAAUAUUGAUUGAUUCAAUUUAUCUUUAAGUAUGCUUGUGAUAUGCCAGCAGGGUUAGCUUGGGGUCACUCGUGAUCCUAGGUCCCAUGUCCGUGUCCUGGGGGUAGCUUCGGGGCGUGACAGAAAGUAAGGUCGUCUUUAUUAUUAUUAUUUGUGGAUAUUUGUGAGUUCAAGUGCUCACAAAAUUAUGCUUUUAAGAUUUUAAUAUGUUAUGUGUCAAAAUUUUGAUUUAGAAUAUCCAGUUGUGAACAGUUCCAUUCAGAUGUCACCUACUGCUUGAUUGAUAGUUGCAUUAAUUCUUUGUAACUCCAUACUAUAACCAUAACAAUAACUAUGGUUCAGUUUCAAAUAAGUUGGGGUCAGUGAUAUGAAACCUAAGCAAUCGUAAUAACUAUUCUGAGACAAUUAGGAAAAACAUUUAUGAUACUAACAAUUUUAGGGUCAUUUUUAACACAUACAUGAUACAACAUAGUAUAAUAAAAAAGAGAUUGAUGGAGGUUAAUAAGAAAGGUGCCGAAGGUCCUCCAUUUGAAUUAGUUAAUUAUGUUCUUGUAUGGACGUGCUGUUCUACUUUACUUGGGAGUGUUGUUGUUCGAGACUUUUUGGUGUCUUCUUUAACGUUUGAUGUUGUUCUUUAUAACUUUUUGGAAUUUAGAAAAUUUCAUUACUUCUGACCAACUAUUUCCAUGGAGAUUUUCUUAGACUUCUUUGUUAUGUUUAAAAUCUCUCUAUGACUCAUAAUUUUUGUAUUAUAAAAAUAAAAACUAAAAAAAUAUAGCACUUUAAGAUUUUGGAGGAGCGCUUUGCCUUAAGAUAAAAUGUUCUUGACAAUGUAGUGUAUGUAAUACAAAUAUUAUCGAAUUAUCAUAUGUAAGCUUAAUAAAAUAGGUCAAUCCCGUGCGAAGCACAAGUAAUUUUCCUAGUAAUAUAUAAUUGGAGAGCGGAUGAUAUUUUCAAGAAUAUAUAUUUAUUAGAGAUUGAUAAUAAUAUUAGCACUGUCUAAUGUUUUAAUAAAAAAAUUGUUACUAUUGAAUAUUGCUAAUAAUGUUUAAGUGUUGGUUAAUAUAAUGAUGUGGAGAUAAAAAUUGAGAUAAUCGUAUAGGAAAGUGACUUCAUGAUCCAUCCAAGAGAAAGGUAAGUCAUUUUUUUUAUUUGGUGAAAAUUAUUCUCCCCAUUUGUUUUUUUUACAGACAAACACUUAAAACUAUUUUUCCUUAUAUAAAAUACACCUAAAAUAGGAAAAGAGUAAAAUACACUUAAAGAGUCAUUUGGUAUAGAGUGCAUUAAGAGAAAUAAUACAUGUAUUGGUAGAGUGUAAUAGGCGAAUAAUACAUGUAUAUAUAUUAUGUUAACUUUGGGUAUUAAUAGUACCUUGUUUGGUACACUUUUUUCAUGUAUGUCUAAAGCUUGUAUUAGUUAUACACUUUAUUGUGUAUUAAGGUGGAUAUAUUAUUAAUAUCAUGGAUUUCUAGGUAUUAAUAAUGUAAUGUUUUUUAUGCAUGCAUUAACAUAAUUAAAGACUCAUAUGCGCUCAACUUUUUAUUACAAUCAUAAUUGUGGAGGAUAUCUUUAUAAUUAAUUUUUUAAAGCAAUAUAUGUUAUUUUUAAUAUACCAAACCAAAUAAUGCAUAAAAAUAAAUUAUGUAUAAUUAAUAUAAGCAUAACUAAUAUAUGUUUCUCAUGAGAUUCUUUUUGCUCUAUCAGCAUAGUGUUGUACAUAAUCAUGAAACCUCUGGUUGGAGCCAAGAGUAGGGCUGUCAAAAAUGAGGCCAACUAUAGAUAAUCCAUCUAGAAUUUUAAGGGUUAGUCUUAAGAUAAUUUGUAUUGGCUUCAAUCUGAAGUAUCAACCCAUUAAAGCUUUAACCCAUUUUAAGUGAAUCCUUAAUCGAGCCCAAUUUAAUCUUCAAUUCCAACCCGACUCUGUAUUUGCAUUGAUGUAAUGUAUGUUCUUAUAUUGAAAGUAUGAAUUUCUAUCUAUAUUAUAUCUUUUAGUACUUAUCUAUCAAUUUGUAACUUAUUUUUUAAAAUUUUCAUGAGUUCAAAUUUAAAUUGUGUUUAUAAAAGUUAAAUAACAAUAUAUUGAAAUUAUUGAGGUUAAGUGAGUCAAAUUGGACUAGUCAGGACCCAAUCCAAUUUUUAGCCCAUUUGAGCCUAAAUUGUGGUCAGAUCUUUGAAGGGUUGAGCUCAGGAUAAUUUGUAUUGUCUUCAAUCUCAAGUCUUGACCUAUUAAAGCUUUAACUCAUUAUAAGAGAAUCCUCAAUCGAGCCCAAUUUAAUCUCCAAUUUCAACCCGACUCUUUAUUUGCAUUGAUGUAAUGUAUGUUCCUAUAUUGAAGGUAUGAAUUGUUAUCUAUUUUAUAUCUUUUAGGAUUUAUCUAUCCAUUUAUAACUUAUUUUUUAAAAUUUUCUUAAGUUGAAAUUUAAAUUGUGGUUUUAAAGUUAAAUAACAAUAUAUAGAAAUUAUAGUCAAAUUAGGCAAGUCAGGAUCCAAUCAAAUUUUAGCCCAUUUCAGCCGAAAGUAAACUUGGGCGGGUCAAAACCGAAUCCAAUUUCUCUAUCAAUCCAUUCUAAUAUCUCCAAUUUAUGCCUAAUAAUUUGACGCCCCUAGCAAAGAGUAUCAGUGCCCAAAGACCCUUGUAACACCCCAAAAAUUGGUAGGCCAGACUAGAGCUUGACAUUAGGUUAGAAGCCUUGAACGUACCUCUCCGUACCUUAAACUAAAUAUUUUCGUGUUAGAACGUCAAGGUUCAAACCCCAAGGACCAACCAUGGGUCCUUGAGGAAUGCACCAAAAACAUGCUUGGGCAGUGACCCAUGAUGGGUCACUCACGCCUCAUAGCCCCCCCCCCCCCCCCGCCUCGUGGGUGAGGGGCUGUAGAUGGAACAUGCAGGAUCUGGUCGCAGACCCCGACCCACGCUUCACCAGCACAGGCCGUGGGUCCAACCACAGUCCAUCUGUGAGGAGGUCGUGGGUGAUGACUGGAAACCAUUUUUGUGAAUUAGUUAGGGGUACUUUAGGGUUUUCCAUUUUUAUUUAAUACAAAGUGACUUCGUUUUACACUAAAUUAGACUAACUAUAUAAUGAUUUAAGACCUCUAAAAUUAGUCAUCCUUCUCAUAAUUCCAAAAUCCCAAAUCAAAACCAACUUUUCCCAAAAUUCUCUCUCUAGAACUCAAAGGAAGAAGAAGAAGAAAGUUGAAGCUAGGGUUUGAAGGAUGAAGAUUUUCUACUCAAUUUAGUUGGAGAUUCAUAGCUAAGGUAUGGUAGUCCUUCAUCCAUGGAUAGCUUUCAUCCAUGGAGCCCCUCAAACUCUCAAUUUCAAAGUUAUAAAAUCCCUAAAAGCUAGGGUUUUGACUCCAAGUCAUGGAAGUUAUGGAUUCUUUCAAAAAUGAUUUUUAUGAUUUAAUUACUUUGUAUUAUGAUUGAAUUGAUGAUUAUUAUGGUUUUUAUGAUGAAAUCUCCCAUGAAUCCAUGAAAUCCCCAUAUUCCCAAUUUAUGACUUUGUGAUGUGGGUUUGUUGAUUAUAGAAGAAUAUUAUGAGAUUAUGCUUGUAGUAGUUGAGUUAAUUGAAUCAUGUUAUUAUUCAUGUCUAAUGUAGUAACUCUAGAUGUGUUGAUUGAAUAUGAUCUUUGUCUCUUGAGGGGUAAAGUAUGAGAAUUAUGCAUGUUUGUGAAGGUUAUGCAUAUGUUUUAAGAACACUUUGAGUGUAAAGUGAUAUAAUCAUGUUGUGUGUAGUUGAAAGGACAUUCUCAUAUACACACAUAUGUAUGAUUAUGAUAAUGAUAUUGUGAUGAUUGAAAGGCUAUUCUCAUGAAUUCAUAAUGAACUUAGUAUGAAAGGUGUUCUCACAUAGUAAUGGUUCUAGGGUUGAAUGACUUUUCUCACCUAAUUGAACUGAAGGCUAAAGAACCUUUAUACUUAGAACAUGGAUGGUGAUAGUUGCUCACGUAUGGUCUAAAGAGUUAUUUUAAUGAAUUAACUUGGAUUGAUUGUCAGGGAUAUCUUUUCAUGAAACUUGAGUCGAUGUAGAGACUUAAUGACUAUCUUGUGGGAUUUAGGCCUAGCACCGAGUGGAUAUUGAAAUGAGAUGGAGGUUCCCACCUAGUUGAGUUCGGGCUUCCAAAAUGGGAACUCUCACCUAGUAGAGUCUGGAUUUCCCAAAGUAUGUCUCAUGACAUGGAAGCCUUCAUCUAGUGGAGUUUAGGUUUCUAGUAGCAAUCUCUGUAUCCCAUAACUACAUUCCCCGUAUGAAAGUUAGCUAGUGGAUCCGACUAAGCUAACAAACCGGUUCUACCUUAGGCAAGUGGACCAACCCUUGACGGUGUGGGUAACACCGAGAGGAAUCAUGUGAUAACUCACAUGUUCUCAUGUCGGUUAAGGCUAUAUCCCAAUUACAACAAGAAUAGUAAUGAACUAAGAUUAUGCUUGAAGAAGCAUCUCCUAGAGUCCAACACAAUUAAUGAACUAAGAUGUGCUUAAGGAAGUACUUCACAGUGUUCAAGAGUUUUAAGAGAUGACAAAUAUGAGUGGUGACCAAGAGUGGUACUUAGCAUGGGUGGGAUUAUGGGGUCUUAUCCAUGCAUUGCAAAGUGUGACUUGAGGUUACUUAUGAAGUGUUUCUCUUAUAUGAUGUAUAUUUAGAUUGGAUUGUUGCUAAAGUUGCUUUCCUUGUUAUGUUUGACUAAAGGUGAAGGUUCCCUUGUCCAUGAGAAUUAAGCUAAGGAUGAGGUUCAAAGAUGGUAAGUAUGAUUAUGAUGGCCUAAGAGUUUACUUAGUAUGGAUGAGAUUAUGAGAUCUUAUUCAUGCAUUGCACAAGUAGACUUUGAGGGUGUAUAUGAAGUGGUUCUUUUAUGCUAUGAUAAUCUAUAUAUAGGUUAUGUUUAUGAGUUAUGUUUUUCCAACUAUCUCUAUGAUGAUGUUCAAACUUGGCAUAUAGCAUGAUUUAUAAUGAAAUGUCCCCUUUUAGCAUGUUUUCAAGGUUUUAAUGCAUGACUAUCAUACUUAGUGCAUUUUUGUACUAAUCCAUAUUUUCCUAUACUUUUCCCAAGUGUAUGGUCCGGUUCUUAAGGCGGUCACCAUUUGGUUCAAACUUGGAUUCAACUAUUCUCCUAGCUUGUGGUGAGCUCUCAUGAUUCGAGGACGGAUGUGUCACUUUGAUUUUCAUUUCUAGUAUUUCAUUUUUGGACUAUGUUUGUAUGGGAUGUGUCCCUUCUCAUUUUGAACUAUUGUAAUAGAUGCCUAUAUUGAGACAAGUCUAGACUUCUGCUUGUUUUUAUAAAAGACUUCGAUUGUAAAGAAAAGUUUUAAAAUUUCUGUAUCAUUUCUAUUUACUUUAUGUUAUGAUAUGCUAAGUGGCUUGUGUUAGGCUUUUUGGGGUCUAGUACGCCAUGUUACAUCUAGGGUGUACCCCUGGGUCGUGACAACCCUUGGGAUUGCUCAAUUGAGUUUCUUUAGGAAUGUAUUUUAUUUUUUUAUUUUUAAAGUAUAUAAUCCUUUCUUUGUUAUUUUUAGGUCAAAUUUACGUGGUUGGGCAAAAAUUGCUUCCUUAGUAUCGAUGACCAAGGCAAAUGUGGUAUGUGUUACUCCCUCCGUCCACUUUUAUUUGUCAUGUUGCAUUUUUUGAAAGUCAAUUUGGUUAUAAUUACUUUAACAUAAUAAGACUUUAUUUAAAAUAAGUAAAUAAACAUAUAGAAACAUAAUUUUAAUUUUACUAAACUUGUUUGGUUAAUUUGAUUUUGCAAGAAUUCUUCUAUCUAAUGGGUUAUUAUUUCUUGCUCAAUGCACUUUAAAAGAAGAUUUCUUAUUUUUGGUUUGGAAAUAAAUCAAAUAAAAAAUAUAAGUUUCACCCCAAAAAUAUAAAAUUCCUAAAUGUCAAAUUGUUCCCCCAAAAUUUAGAAGUCAUCCCCAAAUAUCAAAUAUUUUCCUCAAAAAUUUAAAAUCUUACUUACCAUUUCAAAUACCCUUUAGCCACCCCAAUAUCCCAUAUCCCCUUCCCAUUCCCUAUUAUAUAAUAUACAUUUUUUUAGUUGAUAUUUUCUUUUGUAGGCUUUACAAAGUGGAGCAUAAAAGUAUACAACAUUAUUUUUACAUAACAUGGUUGUUUUAUUGGAUUGUAUUUUAAAAAUAUGAAUACAGUUCUCUGUCAGUUUAUAAUUCACAUCAAAAUUUGAUAUGAAUUUGCUUACGAAGUAAUUGAAUUCAACAUUUUAAUCAAUAAAUAUAUCAAUAUAUGUUUAUUUGUCACAUCACAUACAAUGUAUUUCACUAUUUCAAUUUCGGUGAUAUAGAAAAUGAACUUAAUUAAUUCAUCCUCAAUUUGAAGAAGAUCAUUGUGUGACAUCAAUUGAAUUACCGAGCAAGUGCUUAGCCGUAACAAUUUUCAUACUGAUUUGUUGUGGAUUCCUAUAGAUUUUUAUGAAAUCAAAGUUGUAUUGUGCAACUUAUUAUAUACAUAUUUAUAUCUUUAUUAUUUUAAUUUUACACAAGUUUUAAUUAGUUUGCAAUGUCGGUUACUAUGUACAUGUUUAAAUAUAUAUUUUAUGGAUAAGGCACAAGUAUCCCCCUAGACUAUGACCAAAAUCUCAGAGACACACCUUAACUAAAAUAAGGUCCUAUUACCCCCUUGAACUUAUUUUUUUUGUAAUUUUGUACACCUUUUGUCUUACGUGGCACACUCCGUGACUCCACGCAAUUGAGGCGCGUGAAAAAUAUUUGGAUGCCACAUAAGCCAAAAAGGUGCAGAAAAUUACAAAAAAAAUAUGGGUUCAGGGGGAUAAUAGGACCUUAGUUUAGUUAAAGUGUGUUUCUGGGAUUUCGAUCAUAGUCUAGGGGGUACUUGUACAUUUUUCCUAUAUUUUAUAUCAAAUGUCUUAUCUAAUGAAAUGAUUAUAUGUAUUGAUUAUAUAGAAAAUAAAAAAUAAUCAAUAAUAAUAAUAAUAAAUCAAGUGAUUAAUUAUAUAUGCCACCCUAUAUAUAUUGAUUAUAUAAAAAAUAAACAAAUGUCUCCCUAACCUAUUAUCGAAUUCUCAACUAUACACUUAUACUUUGCAGGGAUCUAUUACCCCCCCUGGAUUUUUCAAAAAUAAAAUAUAUACCACCCUAAAACUAGACAACCACAUUCUCAACAUGUAGUGAUGCCCACUCGCUGGCAACUGUUAUUUUUUAUUAUUUAUAUUUAGUUUUUCCUUUUUAUUCCCUUUUUCAUUAAUUACAAAAAUAUCUUUAUUUUUUUUAUUCCUCUUUCUUCUUCUUCUCUUUUGUUUUUCAUUCACUUCUUCCAAAUUAGUCAUCCACGAAAAAGAUCGAAGCUGUUUUUAUUAUCAUUUUUCAUCACUUUAUAUCAUCCUUGCACCUUGACGAGCUUGAUUACUCAUCUCUUUUUUCUUUUUUUUUUUUAUUAUGUUAUUUCUUUGUUUCCAUGUGUAAUAUUUUAUUUACGAGUUGUCGUUGGUUAAAUUCUUGGGUCUUCACCAAACAACAAUAGAGAUUGAAAAUAAGAUCUGAUGGUUGAUAUAUGUUAUUGACCUAAAAUUGGUGACAAGGUAGAUUAAUGGUGUUGAUAUUUUGAACUAAUUUGAGAUUGAUAAAAAUGAAAAAAAAGAUGGAUGACCCAGAUCAUAUACCCAAAACUCAUGUUUAGUUUGUUUUAUGAAAUUGAUGAUCGAAAUUUUUUAUUUUAUAGUCAUAAUUGUUUUAAUUCACUGGAUUUCUUCAAUAAUUGAAACAAAUUCAAUAAUAGAAUGAAUUUUUAUGAUGGAAGGUGUUUAAUAAUUCUAUUUUUUUAGGUUUUGUUUCUCCUAUCUAUCUUCUUCUGCUUUUUCUCUCUCUUUAUUUUAGUGAUUUUUUUUGGAAUAGUGAGAUUAAGGACAAUUUGAUUUUUUCGGCAAUAUGAAUAAUAAUUUUAAUAAUAUUUGAUGAUUUGUAGUGUUAGUUGUAGAAAAUAGUGAAAUAAAUUGUAAAAAAAUUAUAUUAAAAGAUGGAUAAAAAGAUAUGGUUAGUGUAGUGAUGGUGGUUCAAGAUGGAGAAAAUGGUGGUGGGGUGCAUGUUGAGUAAUGAGAAAGAGAGGGAAAAAAGAAAAAAGAAGCAUAGAACUUAAAGAGAAGAGUAAAAAAAUAUAUAUUUAACAAAAAGUUAAAUUAAAAUAUUAUAAAAUAUUUUUAUCAAUUCUUCUGACUUCCACAUGCCUCCAAGAGAGUGAGGACACUCUCUAUGCCAUGUGAGCAUUUAAGGGUGUAAUUAUUCUAUUUUGGGCUAAUCCAUCGGUGGCCUCCUAAAUUUGGCACGAUUUUUCACUUAGACACCUUAACUAGGCUUUGUUCAUUUUAGACACCUCAUGUCAUGCCCAACUGUGUCAUUUUGACACUUUUUCGACAAUCUGCCAAAUUUGUAAGGUGUGUGUUAACACACUCGCUGAUGACGUGUCAAAGUGACGAAUUAAAUAAAGACACGUGACAUAUAUAUAAAUUAUUUUUUUUUUUUGGAUUUCUGGGUCAAUGCAAGUCAAAAUUUGGUUUUUUGGUACAUAUAUAUGGAGGUCCCAAACUUUCUACUAAAAAUUAUAUCGCUUAUCUAUUUGAUUUGGACUUUUUCUGUGAUUAUGAUGUGAGAAGGCAUACAAAUGGAUUGGAACGCUAAAAUUGUUUGUUGUGAAUGUAGGAUUUGAUAAUUGAAAAUAUGAUUUCUUGCCAUUUCUGAGUGUUUUUUUCUUCUUGAAAUUUAUGUUGAUUUUCUCAAAUUAUUUUGAGGAAGAAGGACAACAAAAUAAGUGAAAGUAUUUAAGCUUAAAAUUUAUGGGCGCUAGAAUUCACUUUUUGUUUGUGACAUCGUCAAAAAAUUUUCACCAUGGAAAGAGUUUAAGCUUGGAAAAUGGUAGCCAAAAAAUGGGGAAGAAGAAGAAGAUUUUUUUUUUUAAAAAUUUGGUAAAAUGAAGCUCUCACGCGCGUCUAGUGAGUGUAUCACACUUGCUAUGCCAUCUCAGCAGAAAGUGUCAAAUUGACACAGUUAGGCGUGACAUGAGGUGUCUAAAAUGAACAAAGCCUAGUUAAAGUGUCUAAGUGAAAAAUCGUGCCAAAUUUAGGAGGCCACCGAUGGGUUAGCCCUUCUAUUUUAAAAUAGUCUAGGGAGGUGUUUGGACUCCCGUGAAACAUAAGUGUGUAUUCAAAAAUUCGAUAAUAGGUUGAGGGGGCAUUUGACUAUUUUCUCUUAUAAUAAUAAUAAUAUAAUUAUGUGGAUGUAAUUAAUAUUUUAUCAUACGCCGUAUAUUUAAUUUUUGAUAAAAAAAACUUAUAAUAUUGAAGCAAUUACACCAUCCUACGCUAUUUUGAAGAGGGAGAUGAUCUCACUUUUGAAACAACAGUUGAUAGAUUGUAUUUUUAUACAUUCUGGACAACCUGAAAGGUUGAAAUUUCUGAAAUGUAGAGAGUCCUUUAAUUACCAUUAUGAUCAAGCAUUUGAGUAUGCAAAUGAUCAUGAAAUUAUCUCUUAAGCAAAAAUGUAUUCAUAUAAGGGGAUAAGAAACACAUAAAUGCCUCAAUCCAGCAAAGCCAAAAAGGAUGCGUGCAAAUGUACAUCAAUACUGGAUCCAUAAGAAGUGGUUAGUGUAAUUGUUUAAUUUGUUUUAACUUAUAUAAAAAUUAUUCAAGAGAAAAAGAUUAAAAUUAUGAGUGUCAAUAUAUUAACAAUUUUCAUAAACUAUAUGAAGCAAUAAAGUCUAAUGAUCCAUCUAUAGAUUAAUUUUGAAUAUACUUAAAAUUUGUUUUAUAGGUGUUUAACAAACAAAAAUAAUGACCUACUUGAUGAAAAUUAGAAUGAAUUAUCUCAUUCUUUACAAAGUGAUAAAAGAUGAAAAGAGAGUUUUGACUUUAUGUCUUGUAUUUAUGUCCAUUAAAAUUAGGAGAACAAUUUAGUGUAGUAGACAAAUAAUUCUUUCUAAAGUAAUUUAUAUACCUGAUGAAUGAAUAUUUUACCUCAAAUAAAGAGGAUUUAAAAAUAUUAACAAAAGUUAACUUCAAAACAAAAAGGGGACAUCCGAUUGACCAUUUAGGGAAUUAGUUUGGGUUGGUCAUUUUUAGAUAAUUAAUUAAUUUAGUUUUAAGGUCUAUUUGUGUACUUUUUUCAAAAUUUAAAUUAAUUCUACUGUGGAUCAUUCUCACGAAUACCCUUAUUUGGGGUGGUUUAAUUCAGCUUGUUUCUCAAUAUUUUAUUUAAGUGAAAAGAAGUAGUUAGAGUCACUUCUUCUAUUUUAUUUUCUGUACUCUUCAUCAUUGAAUGAUUCAUUUUCAAGUUCUUGGCUAACGUUAGGCUCGAUCAAUUUAACUAAGAGAAAAUAAGAAGAAUUUUCGAGUAAAAUAUAAGAAGAGAAAGGAGAACAUGGUACAUAAUGAGGAUUAGACUUGAGUAGUAAUUUAACGGAAGGCUGUACAGGUCUUGUUCAGUCAUCAAAUCUACACUACACUCUAAAUCGAUGAAGCUCAAAAUAGUAGUAUGAGGUUUGAGAAUAUGAGAUAAAAAUUUAAGAGGAUUAAAAGAGAAUCUAAUCCUAAACUUCCGUGAAUCUUCUUAUUUAAUUUUGAAGAGGCACAAAAAAUUUAUGUUAACAUGAAGAAAAGUACAUUUCGGAUGAACUCAACCAUCCUGUAUGAAAAAAUCAAGAGUGUAUAUUACCAAUUUUAGUUUUCUCCAUUCUUUUUGCCAAGUUUCUUUCUUAUCUGGAGUAGUAUAGGAAUAUUCAUAUGUUGUCCUUCGACUAUGCCUUUCAGCCUGGCCAUAAGAACUGAAAUGUCACAAUAUUUUUUUGACUUCGUGGUGUUGAAAUGUGGCACAUAGUUAGUAAGGAGUCAAAUGCUUUUAACAUUGUAACAGAUAUAGUUAUGCCAACAAUCAAAUCAAAGAAAGCACAACUGCUUGGCAACUAUAAGGCCAGUACAUGAAUUGCACAUUAAUUUUUGUUUGCUAUUCUCUAUUUAUAAAUUAUUGAACUUAAAUGGAAAAAAAACUAUAUGUUGUUUGUUACAAUUUUCAUUCCAUAUUCUCUUCUGCAAUACUUUUUAAAUCAGCCUUUCAUUUUUAGCAUUUUUAAUUUCUCGUGAAUUUCUUAUCAAAUAGCAUAGAAAUAUAUAUAGCAGAAGAAAAGUAUUUUCCAUACAGAAUCAUUUUAUACACUUUUUUAAGUAAAGAAAAUGGGAUCCCAAUAUAGUGGACAGAAGUUCCCACUAUAUUGUGUGGCCAGAACGAGUUCGAAUAAAAAAAAAUAAAGAUAGUACAGGCUAGUGGCUACAGCAGCAUUAUUUAACAAUUUUUUUCUUUCCACAAUUUAAUUAAGAUAAAGGGUUUAAACGCUGUGUGAAAAAAAAGAGAAUGACUUAGCAAUAGACCAAAUGAAAAAAGAUAGAAGAAGCGAUUGAGCGGCAACCACUGACACAAACAAUUCCGUACACCUAGAGUUUUUCUAAAUAUCGCAGGAAGAUAAUAUUUGAUUAUAACUAAGUCAUGUUUACUUUAUUAAAUGUAUUUUGUAAUAUUAUAUCAUGUUAUUUAUUUUACCAGAAAGUGUAUAUGGGUCUUACAGAGCUUGAGACAAGAGCAUAAUUUGUUUUCUAUUGUUUUAAACUAAAGAUACAUACAUAUAUAUAUAACUAGAUAGGUGAUAGCACGGGCCCAACAUUCUGAAUUUUGAUGUGAUCUUUUUAGCGUCAUAACAAAAUAUCAAUACUUAACUGUAUUAUUGAUUUUCUCGUAUAAUAACAGUACAACAUUAGUCUACGGAGAAAACAGAAAGAGGCAUUUCUUAUUAUCAAUGUUUACAAGUCUGCUUUGGGAAAAUAUGAUUAAUUGAGUCACCUUUUUUUCCAUACAUCUAGAAAGAGACGAAUACGGUCUUAAAGUUAAUCCAGAGUCGCCAUGGAAUUACAGGAAUCUUCAGCUCUGAUUUCUCCUCCAUUCUCCUUUUUGUUUCCUCUGCUGAGCCACUUAGAAGUUAGGAUCAAAGUUUGUCCCUCUGUUAUCCCCAAAUGUCAAUUCAAUGUGAUUAAUGGUCAGCCUCUAUUACAUUCUGUGCUAAUCUAAAUUCCAUAAAAAUGUUUGAACAAAUUACCAUGUCCAUAUACAGAAUCUACCAAAAAUAAAUAUGCAGAAAGAGCAAAAAGAAGAUACAUAUAAUGUUUUACAAUCAAUGCCUAUAUUUCAUUCCUAUGAUAAACUGAUGUCAAUGGAUGGAGGAGUGGGGAUACUGAAAUGAAACGAAUAAUGAAACUCAAUCUAUCAAUAUCAUGCAUCAUCUGUAAGGCAAACAUUGAACUCUAAUAUUACAAAAUAGCAUAAUAAAUGAAAAAGAUAGAAAGACAGACAGGAAGGAAUAUAGACAUGUGACAUUCAAAAAUAAAUAAAUUUCCUACCUCUUCGGUGUCUCAUAAUCAUCUCUCUCUCUCUUAUUUACUCUUGGUUAUACAAAGUACCAUGGUCCAAAGACGCUGCAAAUCACUUGUCCAAGGGUCAUGGUAAGCAUAUUCGUAGAUGUCGUGUCAAACAAAAUGUUUGUGGUUAGGGUACUUCAAAAGCUUUUCAUAAACUUUUUUCAUUGCUAGUAACUUUCAGAAUCUCAAGCUUUAGACACAUUACAACCAUAUCUCAUAAUAUAUGAGUCACAAGCAAUAAAUAGAAAAAACAACCAAAUUAAAGUAGUAUCAUUUGGGUUUGUGAAUAUCUUCUUCGUUUAUCAUAUGCUAGGAGAAGCAGUUGACAUGAUAAUACAAAAUGAACAUGAGUUCAUACAUCACAAAAUAUGAAGAUCGAUAAUAGAAUUUGAACACUAAAUUCAAGUAACAAUAAUAAAAACAUCCAAAUAAUGAGAGUUAAAGAAUCAAAUAGUACCCUUUGAUAAAUGCUACUAUUGCAAUAGCACAAUCUUUACUUGUUAACUAUUGUCAAUCUGGAAGUUGUGUACGAAGUACAUUCUUUCUAUUUGUUAGUAAUAGACUUCCAAAAUAGUAAUCCUUAUCAUCCAACAAAAGUUGCACUUAUAGGUUAGGCUUGUUUUUUCUCCACCAAUUGAUAUCAAUUAUCACGAGAAAGAAACCAUUUGACAUUCAAUUUUAUCAACACUUUUCCUUCUAUCAUAAUGUCUUGAAAGUUCUGAAAUAAUAAGUCUUAUGAUUUAUCAUCUGGUCCACUAAGUUGAUGGCAUACAUAUUCUUGUCUUUUGAGUAUAUACAUGGAUGAACACUCUUUAUAUAAGAGUUGAUAUUUUAUACUUUCUGAGCUCAGUUGAAGUCUACUUGUACUUGAAUAGAAAUAAAAUAAAUCUUUCCUAAAAAUUCCCAAACCCCUAUUCUUUCCCAAUCAGAAGAAACAACAAGAGUUUGUGUACUCUGAAAUUAUGUGCAGAAUUUUCCCACCAUCAAUCAUUAUUAGCAUUAAAAACAGACUCGAGACACCAUACAAGAAACAAAUCUGAAAUAUUCUAUGCAUACUCAUCACCAUUUUGAAGCACCCAAUAUUAUUCAUAUGCAUGAACUGAUUUCCGUUAAAUAACAACAAUAAUCUAAUCGAAAAAUGGCAAUAAUCGAGCAAAACGACGUUAGAUUACCUACUGCUCGAUCUCAGGGACCUUCUAUACUCUCAAAUUCAACUCUCUCUCUCUCUCUCUCUCUGGGGUACAAAUUGACACAUAAAACAAUUAAAUUAAAGCUAAUCUUGAUUAUCAAAAAUUAAAAGAUAAUAACUUGUUCUCCCAAGAAAAUAUAGAAUUCAAGGAACUUACUAAUGGUAUCGAGUGAUGUACUUCUCAUCUUGCUCAUCUCGAGUUCCAUCCGCCUUGUUGUCCCUACUACAAGCCCAAUACUGUUUUCUGUUAAGUUCAACUUUUGAAAUUAGAACGAAUUGCCUUACCAAAAAGAAAAAGGGUAAGACUCAUUAACCAACUCCAAUCCAAUAUAGAUCGUAAGUAAGUUGAAAGGCAAUCAAAUAAUUGACAGAACGUGAAUGCAUUACUAACCUUUGGGAAUUUUAGUCACAUAGCAUGUCUAUAUUUUUAUUGAGUUCUUCCCAAUACCCCUGAGGAUUAUGCGACUGACGCAAAUAACCUUAAUGUGUCAGCCCAAAAAGUCAAGCCCAAGCUUGGUUCUCUCUGAUUUUUCUACAAUUAUUGAUUGCAGUGUUCAUCCUUCUCUUGCUCAUUUAUAUAUAAGGGUAAUAUUAGUGCGAUUUGAAUCUAAAUAUUCCUUCAACAUCUGAAAAUGGACACAAUAUAUAUUGAAUAAGUUGAAAAUAGAGAAUCUACAUGAUUGAAGAACUUUAUCAACAUAUUGAAACAAUACUUUCCAAGAAUUUAAAAGUCAGUGAAUGAAUUUUAAUUUAAAGUGAAAAGAAGCCUACGAGGGAAAGAAGAUGUUUCAUCUUCACAUGAGCAACUAUGAACUCCAAACACAAAAGUCCACUGUAAUAAAGUUCAAAUUGGCAUAAAGCUUGUAAAUGAUUGUGACUGCCAUGAUUGUAAGGUUUUUCUCGAAAGACCUCACACCAUUAAGAGAAUCUACAUCUUAUAUGUAGUUUCCAAUCUUUUCUUGAGAGAUACAUUAGCUCUCUGGACUAAGUCCAAUAAUGUGUCAACACAACCAUAAUGAACAUAAAAAGAUACUGAUUUUGUGGCUCUUAGUAAAUAUAAUUAAUCACAACAACCCUCUAGAUCUUAAUCCCUACUCUUGAUUUUCCCAUCUGUAACCAUGUAACGAAAAAGCGAAUGAGUAUUUUAUUUUCCAUAGGUAUUUAGUACUCACUUUCUAGAUGACCACACCUUGUAGAUUAAUACCAAUGCAAUCAUUAUUUAAGUACAUGAAGUGAUGUACAGUCUAGAGUAAAUAUGAAUAAAUAUAGAAAAGAGAAGCUCACAGAGGCGUGAUCCUCGAGCGCAUAUCAUUCUGGAACACUGGGAAUGAAGUAAUUUCACUGUACCUUGCUCAUACCUCUUUCUCUCGCUCUCCCUGUCUAUGUUUUUUUAAAAAUAUAUGAAAAAUACAACGUUUCUCUUUUUCUAAAGUUGUAGUGAUUGAUGUCCGAAGGAUUUUAAACAUACCAUAUCCCACAUAAAGAAGAAGAGACAGGCUCUGAGUCUCACAUUGCCCUGUUUUGCUCCAUUUUACAAUGAUCCAUCACUACACAUCCCUUCAAAUUUGCUUGUUCUUUCUGAUAAUAAUCACCCCACACUACAAAAAUCAUGUAAAUAUCAAAUGUAUAAGUGAGGAAUGGUAUCUGUAGGGAAAAGAAAUGAAAAAGUCUUUUAGUUGGUUAGAACAUACUAUCAAACACCUUUGUUGCACCAAUUCUUAAAUUAAGUUAAUCAUGCAAUAUAAAUUUUAACGAUAGAACACAGAAUUUGCAACACAUCUCAUAAGAUUGCACCUGAAUAUCUCAAUUCAAACAUGAAUAUUGAAUAAGCAUAUCAAAAAAAUUGGUACAUGCAUAUUGAAACCCAAUAGGAAACAACCCAAAAGAACAAGUGACGAUUACAGAUAAUGAGAGUGCAAUAACUAAAGAACGAUUGCUUUAAAACCUCAAAAAACAUAAAUAGCAACUCCUUCCACUUCUUCGCGUUUCAACCCCAGAGCAGGUAGAUGUAACAGAAGUAAGAUUAUCGGGAAAAUUAAAUUAAAGUGAACUAAACUAUCAGCACAGAAAGCACCUUAGAUGCAGUGUGUGCAUUAAAGAAAAGAUCCAGAGUUAUAUACGUAUCUAUUUAUAUUUUGAAUCAUGCAUAAGCAAAAUAGAUAAAAUUGAUGAUACGCACACAUAAGAAUCCAAAAAAUAAUUGAAAUGUUGUGUUUCAACCGCUUUGUUCUUGAUGUGGGCAUUUUUUAAAUUUGUUAAUUUUUUACCAUAGGUCGUUGCAUGUACUUGGAGAAGAAAGGAAAGGAAGAAAUUAAAAAGAUGAGUUACAGGGAACAUCGAGCUUAGAUGGAAGUCCUUCAUGGAAUCCAUGGUUGGAUCUUCCCAAUAAAAAAACAAUUCAAAAUGUGAAUUUCAAAAAGGAUUAGUACCUGCUUUGUUAUAUUUGUUCCUUUUUUGGUGUAACCUUCAGAGCAGGUUUAUUAAUUACCAGCAAGUAAAGAGACAGAAUAUAAGAGCACCAACGGAAAAUUCAUUGACAUAGCAGAGUCUUUAUGAGUAUCUGGGUAGUUAUAUUUGUUGCAUAUUCUGAUUUCUCUAAAGUAAAAGGUUGUUACAUUCAAUUAUUGGCAAAUGAAAGUAGAACAGAGUCAUUACGGAAAAGCAAAAAUUUAAAAAGACGACGAUGAAAUGAAGAAAAUUAGAGAACAUAGAAACAAAAUCUAAACUCGAUUAGAAACAUGCAAGUAGAAAAAUCCACAAUAAACUCACCUCUAUUAAAAAUAUGCAAGUAGAAAAUUGAUUGGCAAAAGAAAAUUCAACAUUAAACUAAUCUCCGUUAGGAACAUGCAAGUAGAAAAUUUCAGAACAAACUAAGAAAAAAAUCAGAAAAUCACCCAAGAAUUGGAUCCAAAAUUGACAACAGAUCUACCUCUAAUAAAAACGAAAAUCAGGGGGAAAAGGGGUGAGAAAAAUAAGAAAAUCAAAAUCUGAAAAAUCUAAACAAAAGAGUGAGAAGAUUAAGUAAACUAAAAACUUAUAAGAAGAAAAGCAGAGAUUUUAAUCUGAAGGCCAAAAACUUACCAGUUUUAACUUUCUCUUGAAAGAGAUUGAAUUGAGAGCUCUAAUUACUCUUAGAAAGCAAUCUCAAUUGCUCACACGUGGAAAUAAAAAGACUUCAGUUGUCAAUACCCAAUCAAAUUGAGCCACAAAGGACCAAAAACUAUGAGG